GCCUACAUGAAGCUGGAGUUGCCAGUAAUCGCGAAUCAGCAUGUCGCGGUGAAUACGUUCCCGGGCCUUGUACACACCGCCCGUCACACCAUGAGAGUUGGCAAUACCCAACGUACGUGAUCUAACCCGCAAGGGAGGAAGCGUCCUAAGGUAGGGUCAGCGAUUGGGGUGAAGUCGUAACAAGGUAAC
rnacentral:rRNA from 1 species